rnacentral:tRNA from 1 species
GGGUAUAUAGUUUAAGGGAAGAACAGUUGUCUUUUAAGCAAUCUUAUGUUGGUUCAAAUCCAACUAUACUCA